UACGGAGGGGGCGAGCGUUAUUCGGAAUUAUUGGGCGUAAAGGGUGCGUAGGCGGAUUAGUAAGUCAGUGGUGAAAGCCCAUCGCUUAACGGUGGAAUUGCCAUUGAUACUGCUAGUCUUGAGUAUGGUUGAGGUGGGCGGAAUGUGUCAUGUAGCGGUGAAAUGCUUAGAUAUGACCCAGAACACCAAUUGCGAAGGCAGCUCGCUAAACCAUAACUGACGACUG
rnacentral:rRNA from 1 species